UACGUAGGGGGCAAGCGUUGUCCGGAAUCAUUGGGCGUAAAGCGCGCGUAGGCGGCCCGGUAAGUCCGCUCUGAAAGUCCAGGGCUCAACCCUGGAAUGCCGGUGGAUACUGCCGGGCUGGAGUCCGGAAGAGGCGAGUGGAAUUCCUGGUGUAGCGGUGAAAUGCGCAGAUAUCAGGAGGAACACCAAUGGCGAAGGCAGCUCGCUGGGACGGUACUGACACUGAGACGCGAAAGCGUGGGGAGCAAACAGG
rnacentral:rRNA from 1 species